rnacentral:rRNA from 1 species
GUGGGGAAUAUUGGACAAUGGGCGAAAGCCUGAUCCAGCAAUACCGCGUGUGUGAAGAAGGCCUGAGGGUUGUAAAGCACUUUCAAUAGAGAAGAAAAGCUUAAGGCUAAUACCCUUGAGUCUUGACUUAACCUAUACAAGAAGCACCGGCUAACUCCGUGCCAGCAGCCGCGGUAAGACGGAGGGUGCAAGCGUUAAUCGGAAUUACUGGGCGUAAAGCGCUCGUAGGCGGCUUGUUAAGUCGGAUGUGAAAGCCCCGGGCUCAACCUGGGAACUGCAUUCGAUACUGGCAGGCUAGAGUAUAGUAGAGGCAAGUGGAAUUCCGGGUGUAGCGGUGAAAUGCGUAGAUAUCCGGAGGAACAUCAGUGGCGAAGGCGACUUGCUGGACUAAUACUGACGCUGAGGAGCGAAAGCGUGGGGAGCAAACGGG